UACAGAGGAUGCAAGCGUUAUCCGGAAUGAUUGGGCGUAAAGCGUCUGUAGGUGGCUUUUUAAGUCCGCCGUCAAAUCCCAGGGCUCAACUCUGGACAGGCGGUGGAAACUACCAAGCUGGAGUACGGUAGGGGCAGAGGGAAUUUCCGGUGGAGCGGUGAAAUGCGUAGAGAUCGGAAGGAACGCCGGUGGCGAAAGCGACACGCUGGACCUUUUCUGACGCUGAGGCGCGAAAGCCAGGGGAGCAAACGGG
rnacentral:rRNA from 1 species